GGAGCGGAGUCCACGCGUCACACUCGGGGAAGCUCCUUCGCGAGCCGCCGCCUGGUCCCAGCCGGGCCGCGCGGCCUGACGUCACAAUGCCCGCGCCGCGCCUGCGCACCUCUGCCCCGCCCCCUACCCCGCCCCUUGUCACCUUCCGCAGGUGAGACGCGCAUGCGUGGGCCAGGAGCGGCUGGAUGCUCCCCCAGAGAGGCUGAUGCGUUGUCUCCGUCUGCCCCCUAAAGGCCAAGACCAUUUUAACUAUUUUUUUCUUUCAGCGCUCAGUGGAUGCUAUCUCUGAGGAUGCAGAAAACAUGGUGCUGAAUUAUCAUCAUCAUUCAAGCUACCCUUCCCCAAAAAGCAAAAUGAACACUUCUUUGCACAGUAUUUAGAAAACAAUUUAAAGAUUUUAAAGGCUAGAGUCUUCAGUGGAAAAUUUGCCGAAAUUACAAAAUCAAUCUGACAAUGUGUGAACAGGUUUGGAGAUCAGCUGAAUUUAUUCUUAGGCCUGUAAAGAUUUUCACUGGGUGGAGAUUUGGCAGUCCUGUUUAUUAGAAGUAUGUUGAAAGACCAGAUGGGCUGCAGGGAUGUGAGAUAUAUAUAUAUAUGUAUAUCCUCCUUGGUUAUUCGUUUCUUUAAAUGCCUUUGAGGCAAGAAGGCAUUUUUAACAAGGCAUCCAGUUGCCAUAAGCAAUGGCCAACAGAAUUAACACAAAACCACCCUGAGCAAGGUAAAAAGCCUUCAGUGAUUAAACAAAAUGGGAGGUCAAAGAGAACACGAAGGAACACUAACAAGAUUUGAGGUUUAAUGUAUAUCAAGGUUAACUAGUUCUAAGCUAUAGAGCAGGCUGGUAAAUUAGCCUAGCCUCCUGCUUUAGCAUUUAACUCAGCCCCCAUUUUCUGGCAUCUCUGGGAAGACAUUCUGCUAAUUAUAAGUUGAGAAACAGGCAGAAUUAAUUAUAAGUCAGUGUGAAAAGUAUUUCCACAGAGGUUCAUAAAGGUUAUGAAAGCAGGUAGGAGAAAAGACACUGACACAAAUAGGAAAAUAAUUUUAUUCACACUUGAUCAACAGGAUCCAAGUGAUUCGCCUACAACCUUCUCUCCUGCUGUGAGUGCGCAGGCUCAGAAGAAGAAGAAGAAGGAGGAGGAGGAGGAAAAAAAAAGAAGAAAAGUAUGCCAGUGUGGAGAAUGAGGAGAAAGGAGGACUUCCUCUAACCCAUUCCUUGUGCUUCCGGUGGGCUGUGAGUCACAGGAUGGACUCCCUUUUCCCCAACAGGCAGGUAGGUGACCAAACCUUACUGAUGAGAAUACCAGCCCCCUUGCCAGGAACUGAAGCCUGAGUGGAGCUGAUGAGGGACCAUAAGGCAACUGACACCCCCAAAAAUCACCGCCCCCCAGGUGGGCUGUGUCUGACAUUGCUCCCGUACUCCUGGCUGCCCAAGAACAAAGGAAAGGGGAAAGCAAAUGGGUAACUGACUAGAGAUCAGAGUCCUGCAGGACAGGAGUCUCCAUUGGUUAGCAAAUCUCUUGGUAAAUUACAAGAAAAGGGCAAUCUUAUCAAUAGCCUGAUCUCCAGAAACUCCCUACUAUUAAUGAUCUCGAUUUGCUAGAGGGAAAGACAAGCUAACCUUGACAAUAGCUGGGCCUCCAGCAACUUUCUCCUUCACUCUUUCACAUCUGGAAAUCCCAUUAAGAGACUUCCUCUUCAGUCCCCCAACUCCAUAGUACACAACCAGUCACUCUUCACAACCCCAGUGCAGCUCUUUCUGCCCACGGUCCCUGCCCUGUGCUUCAAUAAAAUCACCAUUUUGGGGGGCGCCUG